AUGUGGCUUAGUGGUAGAGUGCUUGCCUAACACGCAUGAGGCCCUAGGUUCGAUUCUUUGGUAACAUA
rnacentral:tRNA from 1 species